UGCCAAGUGUGGGCUGAGUGCUAAGGUAG
rnacentral:piRNA from 1 species